UUAAGCGACUAAGCGUACACGGUGGAUGCCCUGGCAGUCAGAGGCGAUGAAGGACGUGCUAAUCUGCGAAAAGCGUCGGUAAGGUGAUAUGAACCGUUAUAACCGGCGAUGUCCGAAUGGGGAAACCCAGUGCAAUUCGUUGCACUAUCGUUAACUGAAUACAUAGGUUAACGAGGCGAACCGGGGGAACUGAAACAUCUAAGUACCCCGAGGAAAAGAAAUCAACCGAGAUUCCCCCAGUAGCGGCGAGCGAACGGGGAGCAGCCCAGAGUCUGAAUCAGCUUGUGUGUUAGUGGAACGGUCUGGAAAGUCCGACGGUACAGGGUGAUAGUCCCGUACACCAAAAUGCACAGGUUGUGAACUCGAAGAGUAGGGCGGGACACGUGGUAUCCUGUCUGAAUAUGGGGGGACCAUCCUCCAAGGCUAAAUACUCCUGACUGACCGAUAGUGAACCAGUACCGUGAGGGAAAGGCGAAAAGAACCCCGGCGAGGGGAGUGAAAAAGAACCUGAAACCGUGUACGUACAAGCAGUGGGAGCACCUUCGGGUGUGACUGCGUACCUUUUGUAUAAUGGGUCAGCGACUUAUAUUCUGUAGCAAGGUUAACCGUAUAGGGGAGCCGCAGGGAAACCGAGUCUUAACUGGGCGUUAAGUUGCAGGGUAUAGACCCGAAACCCGGUGAUCUAGCCAUGGGCAGGUUGAAGGUUGGGUAACACUAACUGGAGGACCGAACCGACUAAUGUUGAAAAAUUAGCGGAUGACUUGUGGCUGGGGGUGAAAGGCCAAUCAAACCGGGAGAUAGCUGGUUCUCCCCGAAAGCUAUUUAGGUAGCGCCUCGUGAAUUCAUCUUCGGGGGUAGAGCACUGUUUCGGCUAGGGGGUCAUCCCGACUUACCAACCCGAUGCAAACUACGAAUACCGAAGAAUGUUAUCACGGGAGACACACGGCGGGUGCUAACGUCCGUCGUGAAGAGGGAAACAACCCAGACCGCCAGCUAAGGUCCCAAAGUCAUGGUUAAGUGGGAAACGAUGUGGGAAGGCACAGACAGCCAGGAUGUUGGCUUAGAAGCAGCCAUCAUUUAAAGAAAGCGUAAUAGCUCACUGGUCGAGUCGGCCUGCGCGGAAGAUGUAACGGGGCUAAACCAUGCACCGAAGCUGCGGCAGCGACACUAUGUGUUGUUGGGUAGGGGAGCGUUCUGUAAGCCUGCGAAGGUGUGCUGUGAGGCAUGCUGGAGGUAUCAGAAGUGCGAAUGCUGACAUAAGUAACGAUAAAGCGGGUGAAAAGCCCGCUCGCCGGAAGACCAAGGGUUCCUGUCCAACGUUAAUCGGGGCAGGGUGAGUCGACCCCUAAGGCGAGGCCGAAAGGCGUAGUCGAUGGGAAACAGGUUAAUAUUCCUGUACUUGGUGUUACUGCGAAGGGGGGACGGAGAAGGCUAUGUUAGCCGGGCGACGGUUGUCCCGGUUUAAGCAUGUAGGCUGAUUGUCCAGGCAAAUCCGGAUAAUCAAGGCUGAGGUGUGAUGACGAGGCACUACGGUGCUGAAGUAACAAAUGCCCUGCUUCCAGGAAAAGCCUCUAAGCAUCAGGUAACAUCAAAUCGUAACCCAAACCGACACAGGUGGUCAGGUAGAGAAUACCAAGGCGCUUGAGAGAACUCGGGUGAAGGAACUAGGCAAAAUGGUGCCGUAACUUCGGGAGAAGGCACGCUGGUGUGUAGGUGAAGUCCCUGCGGAUGGAGCUGAGACCAGUCGAAGAUACCAGCUGGCUGCAACUGUUUAUUAAAAACACAGCACUGUGCAAACACGAAAGUGGACGUAUACGGUGUGACGCCUGCCCGGUGCCGGAAGGUUAAUUGAUGGGGUUAUCCGUAAGGAGAAGCUCUUGAUCGAAGCCCCGGUAAACGGCGGCCGUAACUAUAACGGUCCUAAGGUAGCGAAAUUCCUUGUCGGGUAAGUUCCGACCUGCACGAAUGGCGUAAUGAUGGCCAGGCUGUCUCCACCCGAGACUCAGUGAAAUUGAACUCGCUGUGAAGAUGCAGUGUACCCGCGGCAAGACGGAAAGACCCCGUGAACCUUUACUAUAGCUUGACACUGAACAUUGAGCCUUGAUGUGUAGGAUAGGUGGGAGGCUUUGAAGCGUGGACGCCAGUCUGCGUGGAGCCAACCUUGAAAUACCACCCUUUAAUGUUUGAUGUUCUAACGUUGGCCCCUUACCGGGGUUGCGGACAGUGUCUGGUGGGUAGUUUGACUGGGGCGGUCUCCUCCCAAAGCGUAACGGAGGAGCACGAAGGUUAGCUAAUCCUGGUCGGACAUCAGGAGGUUAGUGCAAUGGCAUAAGCUAGCUUGACUGCGAGCGUGACGGCGCGAGCAGGUGCGAAAGCAGGUCAUAGUGAUCCGGUGGUUCUGAAUGGAAGGGCCAUCGCUCAACGGAUAAAAGGUACUCCGGGGAUAACAGGCUGAUACCGCCCAAGAGUUCAUAUCGACGGCGGUGUUUGGCACCUCGAUGUCGGCUCAUCACAUCCUGGGGCUGAAGUAGGUCCCAAGGGUAUGGCUGUUCGCCAUUUAAAGUGGUACGCGAGCUGGGUUUAGAACGUCGUGAGACAGUUCGGUCCCUAUCUGCCGUGGGCGCUGGAGAAUUGAGGGGGGCUGCUCCUAGUACGAGAGGACCGGAGUGGACGCAUCACUGGUGUUCGGGUUGUCAUGCCAAUGGCACUGCCCGGUAGCUAAAUGCGGAAGAGAUAAGUGCUGAAAGCAUCUAAGCACGAAACUUGCCCCGAGAUGAGUUCUCCCUGAGACUUUAAGUCUCCUGAAGGAACGUUGAAGACGACGACGUUGAUAGGCCGGGUGUGUAAGCGCAGCGAUGCGUUGAGCUAACCGGUACUAAUGAACCGUGAGGCUUAACCUU
rnacentral:rRNA from 1 species